AUUGAACGCUGGCGGCAGGCCUAACACAUGCAAGUCGAACGAGUGGCGGACGGGUGAGUAAUGUCUGGGAAACUGCCUGAUGGAGGGGGAUAACUACUGGAAAAGGUAGCUAAUAACGCAUACCCACAGAGGGGCCCAGAUGGGAUUAGCUAGUUGGUGGGGGAACGGCUCACCAAGGAGACGAUCCCUAGCUGGUCUGGGAGGAUGACCAGCCACACGGGAACUGAGACACGGUCCAGACUCCUACGGGAGGCAGCAGUGGGGAAUAUUGCACAAUGGGCGCAAGCCUGAUGCAGCCAUGCCGCGUGUAUGAAGAAGGCCUUCGGGUUGUAAAGUACUUUCAGCGGGGAGGCGUUACCCGCAGAAGAAGCACCGGCUAACUCCGUGCCAGCCGCCGCGGUAAUUC
rnacentral:rRNA from 1 species